CAAGAUUGCACCCACUCAGGCAGUUAAGAAAACCACGUGAGUAGUGAUAAAUUCAGGAGCGACGAUGGUGUUCCGAGGUCACAGACUGACAACCAUAACCAAAGAAAACUCCGAAGGAGAGCCAUGGCUGAGCAAGGCAGCCACACUAUGUCUCCUGUAUUGCUAAAGGCCAACUGGAACCACAGAACCCCAGAGCCCCCCACCUCCCCCUCCAGCAGACCCUGGACUCAAUGUGAGGAAGCCAGCACGGGAGAAAAGAAGGAACUUGCCUGAGAUUACCCUGCAGAGUUAGUUAAGCCUGUCAUGGAGGAGAGGGCUUCCUGUGGGGCCAGUGGUAAAUGCCUCUCUGAUACACAAACCUCUCCCUUUGGAGCAACGGUUCUCAACCUUCCUAAUGCUGCGAUCCUUUAACACAUUCCUUCUGUUGUGGUA